rnacentral:rRNA from 1 species
UACGUAGGGUGCGAGCGUUGUCCGGAAUUAUUGGGCGUAAAGAGCUCGUAGGCGGUGUGUCACGUCGGCCGUGAAAACCUGCAGCUUAACUGUGGGCGUGCGGUCGAUACGGGCAUCACUGGAGUUCGGCAGGGGAGACUGGAAUUCCUGGUGUAGCGGUGAAAUGCGCAGAUAUCAGGAGGAACACCGAUGGCGAAGGCAGUGUUCUGGGCCAGUACUGACGCUGAGGAGCGAAAGCGUGGGUAGCAAACAGG